rnacentral:rRNA from 1 species
CUGAGACACGGCCCAAACUCCUACGGGAGGCAGCAGUGGGGAAUAUUGGACAAUGGGGGCAACCCUGAUCCAGCAAUGCCAUGUGUGUGAAGAAGGCCCUAGGGUUGUAAAGCACUUUAGUUGGGGAGGAAAGCCUCAAGGUUAAUAGCCUUGGGGGAGGACGUUACCCAAAGAAUAAGCACCGGCUAACUCCGUGCCAGCAGCCGCGGUAAUACGGGGGGUGCAAGCGUUAAUCGGAAUUACUGGGCGUAAAGGGUCUGUAGGUGGUUUGUUAAGUCAGAUGUGAAAGCCCAGGGCUCAACCUUGGAACUGCAUUUGAUACUGGCAAACUAGAGUACGGUAGAGGAAUGGGGAAUUUCUGGUGUAGCGGUGAAAUGCGUAGAGAUCAGAAGGAACACCAAUGGCGAAGGCAACAUUCUGGACCGAUACUGACACUGAGGGACGAAAGCGUGGGGAUCAAACAGGAUUAGAUACCCUGGUAGUCCACGCUGUAAACGAUGAGUACUAGCUGUUGGAGUCGGUGUAAAGGC